UUAUGCAAUAUUUUCUCAGGUGGUAUUGGUCUAGUAUAUACGUCUAUAGAGGUGAGCAGCAUUGUUUCCUGCCAGAGGAUGUUACCUUGGUUGUGUGAUGUCAGUUAUUGGAGCUCUAUAACCAUGACACAAAGAAUUAAAAGCCCAAGAAAACAGGACAACAAAAGCACCUGGAGUAAUCCUAAGGCCUUUAACUUUGAGAACCAUUCAUGUAUACAACAGUUCUUGAAGAACUGCAUACACGUGUGACUUUAAAAUGUUGUUUCCUGUAGGCAUCAGAUAGAGGCAUCACACAGCAGUGAGGAGGAAGAUUACACUCGUGUGCUGAGGGAGCCUUUGUCAAACACAUUCUCUCACAGUGCUGAAUACCUGCCAGAAGCAAAGUUACCUUCUUCAUCCCAGCAAGGUGCUGACAGUGGCUUCACACCCUCGCACCCAGCCAACGAAAGAAGAAGACACAAAGGCAAGGAUGAAAGGAGAACUGGACCCAGAAAAGACAGACUAAGUCUGGGUGAGAUAACAAGAACAAUGUCAUCGUGACAAAAAAAGACAAAAAAAGACUCUUUAAAUAAAAAGAAAGAUAGAUGUGAGGAGAUACUGUAUGCUGUUGCAAGAAUUCAGCCCUAAAAUGCUUUGGGGCGUCAUAUUGAUAUUGAUAUUAGGACAGUGUGGGUGAGACAGAAAUCUUGACCACUGAGGCCCGCUACUGUUUAAUAAUCACACUGCCAUUCUCUCCACGUUAGAUCAACCACUCAUUAUUAAAUUAAAGCUGCGUUCCUUUUACAGCGUGAGGUUGCUCCGAGAAAUUCCGACUACAUAUGGAACGCACUUUCUUCUCCUUCCCUCAAUUACAGAAAUCAAUGAAAUAAAUCAAACACCUUGGUCUGGUGCUACCUCAUCAUUUCAUGUUGUUCUCUUAUUGUAUUGAGAUUAUCGUAUUUCAUAUGUGGAUCAUGUUUGUAUUCUAUAUGAGAUGAGAUGAGAUUAGAUGAGAUGAGAUUCAACUUUAUUGUCAUUACUCAAAUACAAGUUUCGGGUAACGAAAUGAGGUUUGCAUCUCACCAGAAGUGCAACAAGCAGAAUGUGAAUAUAUAUGUACAGAAGUAGAUUUGUUCUAUGGAUAAGUAUAAAUAUAAAGAACAAAUGUGAAUAUAAAUGAGCGUUAUAAAUACAAGUAUAUUGUGCAGAUUAUUAUAUACAGAUAAGGUGCAGUGAAUACACUAUAUUAAGAGACAUAUGGAUAAAUGCUAAUUUACAGAAUAUUUGACAGAUUAUGGACAUAUUUUACAGGUGGAUAGCUUAUUGAGGUGGUAUGAACAUUCUACAUAAUAAAUAAACAACAAGAGAAUACAUUCUUCAUAUGUGUGGCUAAUUUCCUAACACAUAUAGAAUAGACACAUGUGGCUGGAUAGAGGUAUAGUCUCUACUUUGAGAAAAACAGUAACCUACUGUUGUUGUAUGUAUGCGUAGGUAAAUAGAGUCCUAAAUAUCAAUUCAAAACUAAACUAUUUUGUAACUGACAAAUACUUGUUAUUAU